GUGUUCAUUUGUUGAGCACCAUGUAUCAGACCCUGUGCUCAAUGCUUUACAUAAUUAAUUUUUCUUUCUCAAUGUUAUAUCAUUUUAUAGGUUCAGGGAAGUUAACCGAGUUAGCUAAGGUCACACAGUUAUUAAGAAACAGCCAUGAGUGGACUGGGGUUGUGGCUCAGUUGGUAGAGCACUUGCCUAGCAUGUGUGAGGCCUUGGGUUCGAUCCUCAGCACCACAUAUGAAUAAGCAAAUAAAGUGAAAAAUCCACUGGCAACUAAAAAAUAUUAAAGAAAGAAACAGCCAUAAGCCGUGUGCAGUGUGCAUCAGCUUGUGAGGCUGAGACAGGAGGAUCGAAAAUUCUAAGCCAGCCUCAGCAAAAGCAAGGUGCCAAGCAACUCAAUGAGACCUUGUCUCUAAAAAAAUAUAUAAAAAAAUAGGGCUAGGGAUGUGGCUCAGUGGAUGAGUGCCCUUUAGUUAAUCCUGGUACCCCCCCCCUACAAAAAAAAAAAAAAAAGAAACAGCCAUGAUUUGUAUUAGAGUUCUCCAGAAAAAUACAACCAAUAGAAAAAAUAUAUGUGUGUGUACAUGAUUGAUUAUAAGAAAUUGACUCAUGCAAUUAUUGGAAACUGGCUAGUCUCAAGAUUUUCAGGGUGAGUCAGCAAGUUGGAGACCUGGGGAAGCUGAUGAUGUAGUGUGAGUCCAAAGGUAUAAAAAAAGUAUGUCCUAGUUGAAAGGCAGAUAGGAAGAAAGAAGAAAUCUCUUUUACCGUGGAGAUGGUCCAUCUUUUUUUUUAGUCAGGUUUUCAACUGAUUGGACAAAGUCUAUGUGCAUUAUUGAGGGAUUUCCUCAGUCUGUCAAUUUAAAUGUUAAUUUUAUCUUGAAUAACCCUCCCA
rnacentral:lncRNA from 1 species